rnacentral:rRNA from 1 species
ACGAACGCUGGCGGCGUGGAUAAGACAUGCAAGUCGAACGAGAGAAUUGCUAGCUUGCUAAUAAUUCUCUAGUGGCGCACGGGUGAGUAACACGUGAGUAACCUGCCCCCGAGAGCGGGAUAGCCCUGGGAAACUGGGAUUAAUACCGCAUAGAAUCGCAAGACUAAAGCAGCAAUGCGCUUGGGGAUGGGCUCGCGGCCUAUUAGUUAGUUGGUGAGGUAACGGCUCACCAAGGCGAUGACGGGUAGCCGGUCUGAGAGGAUGUCCGGCCACACUGGAACUGAGACACGGUCCAGACACCUACGGGUGGCAGCAGUCGAGAAUCAUUCACAAUGGGGGAAACCCUGAUGGUGCGACGCCGCGUGGGGGAAUGAAGGUCUUCGGAUUGUAAACCCCUGUCAUGUGGGAGCAAAUUAAAAAGAUAGUACCACAAGAGGAAGAGACGGCUAACUCUGUGCCAGCAGCCGCGGUAAUACAGAGGUCUCAAGCGUUGUUCGGAAUCACUGGGCGUAAAGCGUGCGUAGGCUGUUUCGUAAGUCGUGUGUGAAAGGCGCGGGCUCAACCCGCGGACGGCACAUGAUACUGCGAGACUAGAGUAAUGGAGGGGGAACCGGAAUUCUCGGUGUAGCAGUGAAAUGCGUAGAUAUCGAGAGGAACACUCGUGGCGAAGGCGGGUUCCUGGACAUUAACUGACGCUGAGGCACGAAGGCCAGGGGAGCGAAAGGGAUUAGAUACCCCUGUAGUCCUGGCAGUAAACGGUGCACGCUUGGUGUGCGGGGAAUCGACCCCCUGCGUGCCGGAGCUAACGCGUUAAGCGUGCCGCCUGGGGAGUACGGUCGCAAGAUUAAAACUCAAAGAAAUUGACGGGGACCCGCACAAGCGGUGGAGUAUGUGGCUUAAUUCGAUGCAACGCGAAGAACCUUACCUGGGCUUGACAUGUAAUGAACAACAUGUGAAAGCAUGCGACUCUUCGGAGGCGUUACACAGGUGCUGCAUGGCCGUCGUCAGCUCGUGUCGUGAGAUGUUUGGUUAAGUCCAGCAACGAGCGCAACCCCUGUUGCCAGUUACCAGCACGUGAAGGUGGGGACUCUGGCGAGACUGCCCAGAUCAACUGGGAGGAAGGUGGGGACGACGUCAGGUCAGUAUGGCCCUUAUGCCCAGGGCUGCACACGUACUACAAUGCCCAGUACAGAGGGGGCCGAAGCCGCGAGGCGGAGGAAAUCCUAAAAACUGGGCCCAGUUCGGACUGUAGGCUGCAACCCGCCUACACGAAGCCGGAAUCGCUAGUAAUGGCGCAUCAGCUACGGCGCCGUGAAUACGUUCCCGGGUCUUGUACACACCGCCCGUCACAUCAUGGAAGCCGGUCGCACCCGAAGUAUCUGAAGCCAACCGCAAGGAGGCAGGGUCCUAAGGUGAGACUGGUAACUGGGAUG